AUACUUAGCACCCAACAGGUGCUCGUGGAAGUUUGUUGAUUGACUGAAGGAGAUGCUCAGCUUUGGAGACUCUCACUGCCUCUCAUGAGAGACAAGGUGCCCAAUAGCACACCUGGGUGGACCAGUGGUUAGCGACUCCUGACCCAACUGAAAAAGACAGUGCCAAAGACAUCUUUUGAUGAUUGUCAGGCAGCUGUGCUCCCUGUCUCUCCCAAUUCAGCUUCUGAGAGCCAUAGCCCAUACGCACUACCCCUCCUUCUGAGCAAUGACUCUUUAACAUCUGCCCCUACCUAAAGUCGGACAACAAAGAGGGGCCCGGUGGGUGGCAAUGGAGCCUGAUUCUAGUGACUUCACUGCGUUCCUGGGUGGAUUCUGAGCACACAGACAGAGGCAUUGGUCUUAAGUUAUUUGCCAUCUGAGGGGCCUGGGGCAGGUGCCUUCCCCCUCCAAUGCUCUGUGUUCUAUUGAAGAUGUGAACAAUGCUUCCUCUCCUGCAUAGCUGAGAUCAUUAAAUGGAGCCACAACAAUUAAUUGGCUCAGUGCGUGAUGACUGACCAUAUCUGUGGUUUUAAUGAAUUAGAAGGGAGCGUUGACGUCAUCGUGCACACCAGGGAGUUCCCUUCCAGAUUUCUUUGAAUCUGUGUCCUUCUGCAGGUGUCUCAUCUAUCACCUGGUAAGAUUUCAGAGUCUGAUAUGUUGGGGUCUCCCACCCUGCCUGCCCUCAACUGCCCAUGACACUGGCUGUCACCACAAGGCUGGCACUAUGCUCUGUCCCCUUAUUAUGAUUCCUGGUUCACUGGGCACCUAUUGGGUGAAUGUCACACCCAGUCACCUUCAUUUUCUUGACCAACCUCCCCAACCAGAGAUCUUGUGACCCUGAGGCAGAGGGAGGCAGCUUAGGUUGGCCAUCCUGAUGCUAGACUACCCAGCCCUAGCCUUAAACAAAUCUGGGCUCAGAAGCUCAAUCAAAACCUCAUCUCCACCUGUAAAUGGAGAAUCUGGUAUACCUCAGUGCCUCUGCCCUGUCUCCCAGGGUACUUGAUGGUCCCUCAAGUGACCAGGAAGAGGCCAUCUGGUGAUCUGAAAAUGAAGGAAAAGGCUCCUCCUGCCCUGGAUACCCUGUGGCAUCUGAGAGAGGCCUAUCAGUGAGAUUGUCUUGACUGAUGGUUGAUGUGCCCACUGUUGGCAGCACCAUCCCUAGGAAGGUGGUCCUGGGCCAUAUCAGAGAGCCAGCUGAACAUAACCUAGAAACAGGGCCAAUAAGCAACAUUCCCCUGUGGUUUUUGCUUCAAGCUCCUAUAAUUUUAAUUUUUUCAAAUCCUAUUUUUAAUGAUGGUUCUUAAACACUUUAACCUUCCUUGUAACCCACCACCCAACAAAGGUAGUGGAAAAGAAAGGAUACAAGGGAAGUGGGCACGUUUAGAAAAGUCCUUUGGAGCAACUCCUGUCCAUGUUAUCUGGAAACUGGCAGUUCAGUUCACAGGUUAGCAGUGGCAGCAAUCCAGUUCAGUAGAGUCGGAUUAGCAACAGUGGUGGCAUGACCUAGCAGAGACAGUCAGGCCUCAACUGUGGGGAGCCGCCCUCACAUUCGCCGUUACAAGAUGGCGCUGACAUCCUGUGUUCUAAAUGGUAAACAAAUAAUCUGCGCAUGUGCCAAGGGUAGUUCUCCACUCCAUGUGCUCUGCCUUCCCUGUGACGACAACUCAGCCAAUGGGCUGCAGCCAAUCAGGGAGCGACACGUCCUAGGCGGAGGAUAAUUCUCCUUAAAAGGGACGGGGUUUCGCCAUUCUCUCUCUUGCUCCUGAAGAUGUAAGCAAUAAAGCUUUUGCCGCAGAAGAUUCCGGUUUGCUGCGUCUUUCCUGGCCGGUCGCGAACGCGCUUAAGACUCAACCUCAGCUUGAGUCAGCUGGAGGGACCAACAGGAACACCAGGAGAAGUUCUCAGUUGUGUCUCUCUCAGGGAAGCAAAGAUCAGCGAAGGCAUGAGAUCCACAAGCGUUGUACAGCUCGCUGUACCAGCAAGCCAAACUCUGUCUCUGUCACUCUGUGGAGUCCUAUUUAUACCCUCAAAACAUCACAUGUCCUCCACGUGCCUUGCCUUGACACAUGCAUCCAAUGAAGCAGCAAGAAGCUGCAGCACACCACCAGAAGUUUUGUGGUGUGUUUCUCUCUUUGGAGUCCUGACAAAUGCAACUCAACUCUGCAAUGUAAGGUGGUCUAAUACAUGCAUGCCGUUAGCCAAGAAUCCUUCAUCACGUGUCCUUUCACUGCUUGCUUUACUUUCACACCUGUGUCCACUUUAACGAAACAUUCCUUCACGUGUUAGCCCCAGCAAAACACCAUCCAACUGACUUUCCAAAAAAUCCUUAAGUUUCCACUUCA
rnacentral:lncRNA from 1 species